CUCAAUCAAAAGUUCAAGCCUCCUCUUCCUGGUAAAUUUAUAACCAAAUUAGAAUUCAAGAUCCACAACAUGAAAAUUAAAAUGGGCAAAGCUCUUUGCAGAGGGUAAAAGUAGAAUAUUCAAUAAAAGCCAUUCAUAGGAAUUCAUUCUAAUAAAAGACCAACAAGAGAGAUUACAAUUGAGAGAGCAAUAUAAACAACACGACAAAUUUGUCAUCUUGUGAGUCCCAAAUGCAAGAGCCAGGGACCAAAGGCUGCAACGAAAUCUCAUGAAAUCUGGGGUUGUGGCUCAAGAAACACAAAACACUUUGAACCUCUUUACACCAUUGCCAUGUCCUCCACAUGAAAUCCUGAUUCCACAUUCCAAACUUAAAUUGUGCCAAUCAAUGUGCAACGUGAAUGGCCAGUUAGUUUAGUAGUCCCUGAAACAUUUUGGUCCAAAAAUGAAAGAAUGUAGAGCUUUUCCCCCCUUAAUGAAAUCAAAAUGAACCAAAAUUCUUCAUUCAUCAUUCGCUCGGUCAAAGCUUUCUAUUGUUAGCCUGGCUAGAUGAAGAUGAUGAUGCUUUCAAUCUAAGAACACUCUCAUCCUGAUCAGGACGGAAGAGAAGGUUACUCCAGUUAGUUGACCUUUGGACAAUCCUGGAAGGAACCCUGUCACUAUCUUCCCCACCAGAUGCUUCAUAUCCAUCGCUAGCAGACCUUGAUAGUGGGAUUCCACCGUGAGAAGCAGCACCUGCAAUAGAUAUACCUGUGAGCCUCCUAGACUCUUCAGCUCCAGAUGAGGAAACACGAAAUGGGUGGAUAUCUGGUGAAUCUAAACUGCUUUCUGGAGAAGAAGCAACAAUCCCUACUGAGCUUGACAUUGCUCGGCUAGUCUGGAAAGCACUCCUUGCCUCAAGCUGAAGAGGGGCCAAGCUUGUGGAUGUCUCGGUGAAAAUUUUCUCAGCAGCCAUACCUGAAACCUUAGUUACGGGCUCCAUAGGUAGGUCAGCUGGCAGGCGUACUCUCUUAUUAACUUUCCUCCUACUAUUGUCAGGCCUUGGGACCAUCCGACGGCCACUGCUGCCAAAGCUACUAUCUCCUUCUAGCCCAAAAGGGGCUUCCCGUCGCACCAAAGGCCGCAAGAUUCGGGAUUUUUUUCUUGCCUCUGCUGCAGCUUUUGAAACCUCUUCUGCAUUUAAUCGGGCCAAUGUCCAUGGGCUGAUCUUUACUGCUGCUGGGUUCUUUUUCCUGUUUGGCUCCUCUCCCACUGUCUUUUUUCCUAAAGAACUGACAGAUCCAGUCUCUGGAGGAACAACAUCAAACUGAUCUUCCAGGAAAAGGCGAGGUGGUGUACACCAUGCACCCCGGUGGAAAGUAGAAAAGGAGCUUGCACUGCUCAAUCCAGUAAGUGAACUGGCAGGAGACAUCUGGGGACUCCGUUGACCUCCAACACCUUGUUGCUCUUGCUCCUGCUCCCUUAGAGCUAUAAUGUAAUCAUAUGUGCUGAUUCCCUGUAACAAUCAACCAAAUUAAUCUAUUGACAUAUUCACUUGAUACAAUAACUCCAUAGAUAAAAAAAAUAAUAAAUACAUAAAUAAAUAAAUAAUUACAAAACAAGUAAAUGUCAAAUAAAAACAAAAGGCUGCAGCCUAUCCUGACAAUAAAAAUUCAAAAAAAGUUGUGCAUAUUCCACACAUCAAGAAACUAGGGAAAUUCAUCAAAAAGUUUUCAUUAUCACAAGAAAAUGAUUCAACAUUACUUUCUUAAUGAGGAGGAUAUGAAAGAAGAAAAGCUGAGCAAGAGGUAGGGUAGCAAUCAUAGCCAAAAUGGUGCACGCCGCCACAACAAUAAUAAAUGGGACCAAAGAGAAACUGCUUCCUAAUUUGGAGGAGAUGUCCACAGAAAAUCGCUUCCGCUCAAGAAAACAGCAUACAAGUACUAGGAUCCCAGUCGACCAUUGUAGAAUAAGCUGCAAUCUCAAGCCCAAGGUGCACAAACCAUGUAUAUACCUGUCAAUAAUCAAUUAAAAUGAAAAUGACUUGAAAAAUAAAAGUCUUACUCUGGAUGAUCUUCAGUCCUGCCAAUGUCGCUUAGGAAAAUCAAAGAGGCAAAUUCAGGAUGCAAACACUAUUUUUAGAAGUUGGGAUUUUAUUGGGGAACUAUUGAGUACGAAGAAUAGCAUAAGCCACAGGUAUACCACAAACAAUGUUGCACAGCAGGAAAAGGAUUCUACGAAAAAGGGUCAAAUCAUGAUUGUCCUGGAUAAAUUGUGGGAACGUUAAGGAUAAUUUAAAGAAAUGGUCAAAGAUGGAUCAUGUCUUUCAUCAUAAUAGGGAUCAAGAAACUUGCUUGGGGCAGGAUGGAAAUAUUUGAGACAGAAUCGAAUAACACUCAACAGUUAAUACAGGAUUUGCAGCUGUAAUUUGUUGAUGACUGGCCUGACCAUUUGAAGAUUCCAGGUAAGGCAGAAUUUGGAGACUUGUGCUUACCAAGAGGAGAGCAGAAACCAUUAGGGUGAAAAACUGUCUGUAAUUCCGCUUGCCAAUACAGUUGUUAAGCCACCUGCAGUGAUGAUCAAAACAGUCCACACACUUGUCACAAACUCUGCAGUGCUUGCUAUACUUGAAAACCUCAACCUCACACAAACUGCAAUAAAACAUGCCAUCUUCACUCGUCUGUUGUGAUGAAGAUUCAUCACUUGAACUGCAGAAAUUGCAGAUGAGAGCACAUGGAAACAAAGCCCAAAGGAGGCAAGAUGAAUUUCCUGAUGUUGCAUUCUUCUGCUCAAAAUCAGUAUUAGGGACUUUUGAAGUUGCAUCUGCAACCUCAGAUCCCUUAUUUAGAUAUUUACCCGCAACAGUGGAAGCAUUUGCAUCAUGCCUUGAUGAAGUUGACUCCCCACCUACACCUAGUUUAGAAUCCUUUUGUUGGGCAUGCUUUCUAUCAUGUGGAAUGUUGAGAUACUUUUUGGACCUAAAAACUCCUGGGUCCGCAGGAUCAGCUGCCGCACACCAAAUAUAUAGGCCAAAGACACAUGUAAUCUGAAAAGAAAAUAGAUGUUAUAUAAGUUCCAAGCAAUGGAUGCCACAUCUAAUAUAAGUAAAAAGGAAACACAGACUGAAAUUUAUGUCUGUGUUUCACUAACAUAUACCAUAAUAUUCUUUUGAGCCUAGUGACUAAGGCUAAAAAUAUGUUCAUAUGUGCAUAGAACCUCAACAUUACUGAAAUUUAAGCCUUACACAGUGUCUGAUAAAUAACUUAGCAAUGGCAAACACAUCUGUAAUUUGCGAAGUGUCCUAAUAUACCACAAGGAAAAAAAAACUCUUGUAAUACAACAUAGUAGAAUUGUAUAUAUUAAUUAUGAUUUAAUGCCAAUGCCCAUUAACUUCUAAUAUAAAUCUAAUCAGCCCGAGAUAUCCUAAGCUAAUCAGAUUUUUGGCAUAGUGAAAAGAUAAAUGCACAACUGCACAAGUAUGCAUUUGCCAACAGAAUCUAAAAAAACUAACCAACUCAACUAAGCCUUUAUUCCA
rnacentral:misc_RNA from 1 species